rnacentral:rRNA from 1 species
UACGUAGGGUGCGAGCGUUAAUCGGAAUUACUGGGCGUAAAGCGUGCGCAGGCGGUUCUGAAAGUCAGCUGUGAAAGCCCCGGGCUUAACCUGGGAAUUGCGGUUGAAACUACAGGGCUAGAAUCUGGCAGAGGGGGGUGGAAUUCCACGUGUAGCAGUGAAAUGCGCAGAUAUCAGGAGGAACACCAAUGGCGAAGGCAGCACUCUGGGACGUGACUGACGCUGAGACGCGAAAGCGUGGGGAGCAAACAGG